AGGGCUAAAUUGGCCAAUACCUAUACACCUAUAUUUCAACGCAUCACGCUAAAACUGGCUCCCUCAACUGGCUACCUCAAGUGGCUUAUUCACGGUUGCAUUAAGGAAACUAACAAGCGAGAAGUUAGUAGUCUAAGAUGCAAAGUAAAACCAAUUUAUUCAAAUCACCAGCAGUGUUCCACUCGUGGGUGAGUAAAUGAGCGGAUAGCAUAGAAUGGUUAACAUAACGUAAAUCAAAAUCACCAAAUGGACCGGAAAAGAAUAGGAAUACCAAUGAGGAAUGUGCCAGGAAGAUGAUCCGAACGAGGAAUUCCACAACUGAAGGAAAGGUACAAGUUUAGCCUUAACUGUCGGAAGGAUUUCGAAAAUCUAGCAGUAUGAUAUUCUGGAAGUUUUGUAGGGAUGCCCCUGUGUCCCUUACAGACUGCAUCCUCCCUGUCUCCAGAAAUCCGCAUGGGAGGCACAAUGUGGUGGUCACAACGUGCUAGUGUGGCAUUUUUACGAUGCAGGGAUGCAUUCAUAGGGAACGUGUCCGGUCACAGCCCAACAAUCCAUGCACUGUACAAUCUACUGUGAGCAGGCAGGUGGACAGGACCACUCAGGGUUACAAAUGGAGCAUUGGUGUUUGGUGUUUAGUCACCUCCAACAAGGAUGCUUUUUUUUGACACAUGUGGGUGGAAAGGUGUAGAAUGGGCUAAGGAACUUUUUCUCUGUGCUCCCAAAUGUUGUCACUUGGUUGCACUAGUGCUCCUUAAAAAAGUAAGCAUUGAGCCCUCCCCGAGACUCAAAUGAUUUAGACAGACCGCCUUUCAAGAGACUGGGAGCACAUUGCACACUCAUCAGAAAUAGGCUAAAAAGAAGUACGGAUAUUUAAUCAGAAUCCAAAAAUCCUGCUAUAAGUGGCUCACUUUCACUGUGCCAGCAUUGAGCUUUGUGUUUUGUCAGAACGCAUUGAAAUGCAUAAUGUCUCCCAGUUUAAUAACCGAUCUCCCUCCAGCACUAUUCUUUGCUUUUUCUUUUAGCCGUCUCGGCCAUGUUUCCAUCGAGCUUUCCCAACAGAACAUACUAAAUGAUUUGAAUAAGGUUGUUUCUAGCUUUCCCAACAGAACAUACUAAAUUAUUUGAUUAAGGUUGUUUCUAGCUUUCCCGACGGAACAUACUAAAUUAUUUGAAUAAGGUUGUCUCUAGCUUUCCCAACAGAACAUACUAAAUGAUUUGAAUAAGGUUGUCUCUAGGUUAUUUACCAACGGAACAUACUAAAUGAUUUGAAUAAGGUUGUCUCUAGGUUAUUUACCAACGGAACGUACUAAAUGAUUUGAAUAAGGUUGUCUCUAGGUUAUUUACCAACGGAACAUACUAAAUUAUUUGAAUAAGGUUGUCUCUAGGUUAUUUGCACCUGAAUUCAUUGACAUCAUCAUCAUCGUUAGCAGAUCAAUCAUCAUCGUUAGCUGAUCACCUGCAAACACUAAAGCAACUGCUGUUGCAAUAUUGUAGCCUGAGCUAUUUUAUUAUUAUUAUUUUACUACUCGUUCUUUUAGACCUUCGUAAAUCAGGGACACAGGGACAGAAAAACUAAAAGACUGAAAGAAACAUAAAUGAGAGCUUACAAACACCUAGGGCACACGCAAUUAUCAAUUUCCCCAGGGAAAUUCCUCAGUAUGUGUUAAAUUACAAUAAAAAAAGAAAGAUGUGCUUACAGGCUUUGCCAUGUCAACUCCACUCCUGACUUCUGGGAUAAUGUUAUCCUCCACAAAGUUUGAGUCGGUGUCCUUGGUGGGAGAAGUGCUCAUGACACCAUCAUGUGAUCCCCCCCAUUCUGAACUAGUGUCCCCAGCAGAGUCUGUGGUGGGGGUUAUUGGGGUCCUGUCAUCAAAGAGCUUGCUGGUUAUUGCAUCAAAAACAUCCUCUGGGACUGUGGUCCCAUCUUCUUCUACAAUCACUGGUGUUGGCAUAGUUUUAUCUUCCACCUCAUCAUCAGAAUCUAUGAUGGUCUCUUCCAAAGUUGUGGUGACAACUGUGAUUGUUUCCUUAGUGCCUGAUACCAAGGCAGUGGUAUAUUCUUCAAUGACAUACACAGCUGUAAUCCCUCCCCCAGAUUGAGGUACUUCAUCAGCAGACUGGGUAGUUGCGUUUUUUCCUUCCAUAAUGUCAUAAUGGUCAACACUAGUGGUUUGAGAGGGCAGUGCCUCUGAAUCGGACCUUUCCAUGCGAGGUGUAAAUCUAGUGAUUGGAAAUAAUGAGACGGAGCUAGGCGGCGUGCUGGCAGCAAUUGGAGUCUGCUGUGUAGUUCUGAGCGGUGCAUCUUUUCUCCAGGAGAUUUCAGUGACAUUGGUGAGAGUGACAGUGCCUCCUUGAUUAUUAGCAACAUCUGUGGACGAAAGGAUUCAAAACAACUGAAACCUUUAACUCAACAGUGUGUGUCAGCACAAGGUACAAGGUCAUUAUUUAAAAAAAGAAAAUUCUCAGGUAUGUGAAAGGUCAGCAUAUGCUUACCAUCCUGUCCUAAACCAGAGCCUGAACCAGAGAAUUCCAGGUCAUCUCCAGAUGUGUCCAGGUCCUCUGGGACACUGGCAGAGUACUAAAAGGGGAAGGAAAACAGGACAAGUGAGGUUUCUGGGCUUGAGACUGACAAAGUUGACAAAAUAAUUGACCUUACAUGAAUUGGCGCCAUCUGAUUGAGGAUGGUACCUAUCGUACCUACAUACAUUAGGUCAUCUCUGUUUACCAGGUGGGCCUUUUUGCCAUUUAACUGCAGAGGGG
ensembl:lncRNA